UGGAUAUAAGUAACAAAAACAAAAACAAAAUUAGAUACGGCCUCACCGACAAAAUUAACGCCUCGUCGUACCAGCUCUACGAAAAAUCAUCGUCUUCUUCCCCGCUUCAUACCCAUUCCGUUCACUUCGCUCCCCGAUACACACUUAGAGCACGAAAACUAGGCUCAGCUCCACCUCGACUAUCGGCUUCCCCGUCGAGAUCCCUGACUCCCUUCUUCUCCUUCCCUCACGCUGCAAAACUCAGCGCACACCGCCCCUUCAACCCUCAUUUAGCUCCAAUCUUCUCAAGCCCAACGACACUGCUACCCGGACCCACCGUCGCUGUUCUCCUCGAUUCCAGCGACGCUACUUCCAUUUUUCCUUUGAAACCCAUUGCAGUGCUCCACGGUUCUCGCCCUUCUCUUCCACACCAACCCGGCGCUCCGGUCUCCGCAAAACGGUGCCGUCUCUCAGGCCCAUUGCUUGACCCAUCUGGCCCCAUCCUCUCCUCCGGAUAUUCAUUGCAGCGUGAUUUAGAGUCAUUGAAGUUUUGAGUUUCCAAAUGGAUGAAGUACACGAAUUUUUAGGAAAUAAUAGACUUGAAGACGUGCGUUGGCUCUGUACCUUGUCUGAGUCUGAGCUUGAUAUGCUGAUUAGCUUGAAAAUGCUGGUCAUUCAACGUGCCAAAGUAUUGGGUCACAAGCAGCUAGCUAUGAAAUUUGAUCUGAAGAUGCUUAGAAUUCUUGCACUUGUGUUGAUGGAAUAUCUGAAAGGAAAUGUUGAAAAUUUAUCUCAUAUUCCGGGCAUGGCCAAAGCUCCUGAUUUCAUUGAUGGUUGCUGUUUAUCUCAAUGUAAGCUUGAGGCCAUCUUGAGCAUUGAGGAGCUAAAGGCAUGUAUUGGUAUUGAUAAGAGCAAAAAACCAGCUAAAAGACCACGUGAAGAGGCUGCAGUCAAACAGAAGAAAUAAUUGGAAAAAAAAAUAUUAUGUAAGCCAAUCAAAGUUAUGAUCAUGUUUAUUGCUGCGUUCAUUUACCCAGAUCCUGCAUACCUAUUUGUAGGCUUCCCCAGUUCCAGAUAAUUCAGAGGUUUAACUGAGCUAACAAUGUGUUGUCUUUUUGCUGGGGAGAUGAUGAACGACCCAAAGUGCAUUCCUAAUAUUGGAGAAUGCAGAGGAAAAAAACUCUUAUCGUGCUGUAAAAAAUUUUGGGUUUGCACCACUGAAUAUGUUAUUAAUGUUAUUAAUAUAUAGGCUUUGCUAUCAGCUAUCCUUAGGCGAAGUUUUUCUACAGUUUUUGUGAGAUACUGGAAAUUGUUAAUAUAAAAAAGCAAGCAGUCGUCGAAGGUUAUGCCCUAAGCUGUAUUGUCAUUGAAUUUGUGUAGUCAGUUUUCUCAUUUUAAUAGUACUUGUUUGCUAAAUUGGUUCAAAGCCAAUUAUUAGUAGAUACAGUGUAUAUAGAUGAGAAUGCUGGUAUAAUUUGUGCUCUUAGCAA